CUGAGCUUCAGUUUCCUUAUCUAUAAAUGGGGUGACCAUAGUACCUGGCUUCAUCACUUGCUGGGAGGUGCUAAUGCACAGGGGUUGAUCAGUGUCAGUUCUUGUUAUUGUUUAUCAAUGGUUUAGGUAGUUUUUCAAAUCCCCAUUCUGGCUUUCUAGAGAUAACGGGAUUUCAGCUCUUUCUGUGGUCAAAACAAUUUCUGAUCUUGCUCAACAGUCCUACAACCUCACAAGAUUGUUCCUCAUUGCCAUGCUUUUUGGAGGUCUUACGUCUGCUUAUAUCCUUUUUCCAUUAGCACCCUUGAAACUUCAGGUUAAUGUCUGAGGUCUUACUAGAUGCCAGGGACCGUGCUAACCAUGUGACAGACAUCAUUUUCUGUAACCAUCAUACUAACCAUCCUAAUAAUGAGGUCAGCUAGUAGGUGGUGGUGGUGGGGGGUGUUCUUCCCAUCCCUUGUCUUCAGCACUGCUGGUUGGUCCCCGUGGAGUAACUCCCUGUGCCCAUUUUACAUAACCGAUCUCAUUACUAUUGUGUCUAAACUAUGAGUUAACUGGCUGUAAGUAAGGGCUAUAGCCAUUAGUGUAAUUCAGCCCCACAGCAAUGUACUGACCAUCCACAGGAUGCCAGAUCUGUUUUAUUUUUUUGAAACACUGAGUUGCAUUUAUUUGGGAAUUUAGGGAUGGCAAUCCAAAGAGACGCAGAUUGAGGUAGCACCCUAAACUGUCCUCCGAGCCGCAGACAAAGUUGAGGGGUUUUAAAGAUAAACAACAGAAGUUAACUCAUUUGCAUAAAUUAUUUUGAACAUUUUGCAUUUGGAACCUGCAGACAAGUUUGCACACUAUUCAGUGUCUGGUUGCACAUCAGGCAAGUGUCCGUAUAGGUCCAUUAACAGCUGGUGCUCUGGGGAAUGCUGUGUGGCACUCUUCUGACAUGAGAUGGCCACCGUGUGCAGACCUCAUUUCCUUAGUGGCUUCCUGGCUCCAUUUUUGUUUCCUUUAGCCACGCUGACUCCAUUUUUAUUUGAUGUCCCACGGCACACUAGGCUUGCACCUACCACAGCUUCCAGGACAUGUAUCUUAUUCGACCAAACCACUCCCACAGCUGUAUGGCGGUGCCUGGGCCUUGAGUUUUCUGGGGGUUCACUGCCCAUCCUCUUCCUCGCAGAUGUUCCAGCAAAGCCUGCAGAGUGUCCUACAAGGCUUGUGUGGGUGACCGCGAGCCCGAUCCAUUUCUGCACCCUUCCUCCACAAUCUUAAGAGUGUAUAGAGAGGCCUGAACUGGGCGCAGUCAUGUAUAUGGUCCAGAUGGUCUCAGCACGUCUCAUGGCUGUGCCCUUGGGGCAGCUUCCGGGAGCAGGAAAGCAAGCAGGAUGCACAUUCCAAGGACAGGGGAGCAGAAGAAGAUAAAUUCCUGGGCCCUGAUCCAUUUAGACUGGAGUUGACUCAUUAAAGGUGUUGGAAAUGUCUCUUAGUUGCUCAAGAUUUGGAUCACAGACCUUUCUCAGGAGCUGUGGGUGUGUCAGCCGUCACACUGAAGGGAAUGGAGGCCCAAGGAGCAUCAGAGGCUCCCAGACAUGUCUGCUGGAGAUCAGAAGGCUGAGGAUCCCCUGAUGAACUCCCUCCAGAGGCACCAGCCCCUCUGGGUUGCUU